ACCUGAGCCGAAGUCGGGUGCUCAACCGACUGAGCCACCCAGGGUUAUUUUUGCAACCUAUUCCUGGGGACGGAACUGGAUUAUAGACUUUACACAUCCAUAUUCGGUUUCCUUAGACACGUCCAGGCUGUGCUGCAGGACCUAUCAGAUUAGACUCACAGCAGCCCCUGUGGAUCAUCCUGUUUCCGGCCACCUCACGAGCACUCGAUACCAACUUCUAGAUUUUGCUGCUGCUGAAGCUGCGGUGAUAGGUAUUCGUUUCCUGUUUGGUUUGAUUGUCGGAGAUUUUCCAAUUGAUUGUAUGAUCUCUAGGACUAUAGGAUUGUAGGAUUGGUAGGAUCAUGGAUACUUAAGGCUUUUGGCGUGCAGACAUUUCUAUUUGAUCACAUUUACAACCUUGUCUUCUAUGAUUUCUGUAUUUGGGGCCUUGGACAUCCCCGCUUCAAAAGCAGAAAAGAAAGAAAGAAAGGAAAAACUCGAUUGCGGCUGUCGACCAAGAGGAGAGGCGAGAAAGCAACCAAAUGCAUUUAUUUGGGGCCUUCGGGACUGUAAUCCCCAAGGGACAAGGCAUGGAGUUGACCAAAAUUGGAAGUGUCCUCCCCAAUUUUGAGAGGGGAGUGCAGGCUUGUAAAGGUUCAAAAGCCACAAGGUUACACAACUUGUUUUAAAAGAAUUGUGAUUGGUGCUACGGAGUUUGAAUUCCCCGACGCGAUGGGCGGCUCAGCUAACAGGCGUUACAUUCUCUCUAUCUCCGUCCAGAUUAGAAGGGUGUGUUCCAGGAGGCGGUCCAGGUAGAACGGACAGGUUGCAAAUGACAAAAAUCAAGAGUUUGUGGUGUUCCAAGAUUUGAAACGGGAGAAGCCAGAGGCCCUGCUUCCUCAGUAUCUUCCCCACCCUAUUGUAAAUGACUCAACAAUGUUCACUUCACUUAGG